AUACGGAGGGUGCAAGCGUUAAUCGGAAUUACUGGGCGUAAAGCGCACGCAGGCGGUUUGUUAAGUCAGAUGUGAAAUCCCCGGGCUCAACCUGGGAACUGCAUCUGAUACUGGCAAGCUUGAGUCUCGUAGAGGGGGGUAGAAUUCCAGGUGUAGCGGUGAAAUGCGGAGAGAUCUGGAGGAAUACCGGUGGCGAAGGCGGCCCCCGGGACGAAGACUGACGCUCAGGUGCGAAAGCGUGGGGAGCAAACAGGAUUAGAUACCCUGGUAGUCCACGCCGUAAACGAUGUCGACUUGGAGGUUGUGCCCUUGAGGCGUGGCUUCCGGAGCUAACGCGUUAAGUCGACGGCCUGGGGAGUACGGCCGCAAGGUUAAAACUCAAAUGAAUUGACGGGG
rnacentral:rRNA from 1 species